rnacentral:rRNA from 1 species
AGAGUUUGAUCCUGGCUCAGGAUGAACGCUAGCGGCAGGCUUAACACAUGCAAGUCGAGGGGUAACAUUGAUUGCUUGCAAUCAGAUGACGACCGGCGCACGGGUGCGUAACGCGUAUACAAUUUACCUUUUACAGGAGAAUAGCCCAGAGAAAUUUGGAUUAAUGCUCCAUGGUAUUAUAGGGUCACCUGAUUUUAUAAUUAAAGAUUUAUCGGUAGAAGAUGAGUAUGCGUCCUAUUAGCUAGUUGGUACGGUAACGGCGUACCAAGGCGACGAUAGGUAGGGGUCCUGAGAGGGAGAUCCCCCACACUGGUACUGAGACACGGACCAGACUCCUACGGGAGGCAGCAGUGAGGAAUAUUGGGCAAUGGAGGCAACUCUGACCCAGCCAUGCCGCGUGCAGGAAGACUGCCCUAUGGGUUGUAAACUGCUUUUAUACAGGAAGAAACCUUUCCACGUGUGGAGAGCUGACGGUACUGUAAGAAUAAGCACCGGCUAACUCCGU